GGCAGGGACCUGGAAUAGUGGGCGGGCCUGGGUCCCCCCCCCACAAGCCACUGGGAAAGUGGCCUCCACUUUGAGGCACCCCAGAAGGGGGAAUUAAACUCUAAACCCAGUUGAAGAGCUGGGUCCAGAAAGGCAAAGAGGGCAAAGACAUUGCCUCAAGGGAAGGAGCCCUGGGGCACCACUCUAUUCUGGAGCAGGGACAAACUGAGAGAGACGUUACAGAGGGCCCUGAGAGAGGCCCCUGUUGGACUUGUUGAAGUGGAAAAAGGGAUAAAGGGGAUUUGGAUGCAGACAUCUUAGUUUUCUUAGGAAUUCAGGCUAACUCUAACAACGCGAGACUUUAAGGCAGGGCCUGGGCGAGUGGGAAGUGAGUAGGAAAACUGUAAGAGAUGCUGUUUUAACCUUGUGUUAGAUAAGAAUGGAACACAGACUGUAGCAGGAACUGCUGAGAAAAGUAAGAUAUCAGGAAGGAAUAUGUAUAAACAAGACGCGGCUGUUGAUCAUUAUUGUAUGCAACAAAAGGUAUAAAUGCUUGCCCUAAUUGUUUAUCUGGAGAAGAUCUGCCUAAGGAUGGGGGACCCCCUGUCCGACCGCAGUCUUCCCUUGCAAUUGCUUGAGAAUAAAAGUGUCUCUGACUUGUUGCUGACAAACGCAGAGUGAGGACAUGUUUUCUUCCACAGACUUGUACCCCGAAAAGAGUUUGCUUGUCUUUUCUCUCACAGACAGACUGUGUAUGACUUGGCCGGAGGGCUGAGACGGUGAAGGCUCACCACGAACAGGUAGAGAGAGAAUGCGGGCACAAGCACUUGGCCAGGGGGCGCUCGCGAGAGGUUAGUGCAACGCCGUUACAUAUCCCCAAAUCACGUAUUUUAAAAAAAAGUUAACCAAGCUUUUUUUGAAUCUCCAGAAAAGUUUGAUUCUAGUUUUGAGUGAAGGUUCAGAUCUGUGUGGCCAAUUAGUUAUCAAGGUAAUAAGUAUCUUAUCAACACCUAUGACAGAGUCUUCUUCUCACCCGUCCGCAGUCAUUUGGCUGUGAAAACGGAUGUUCCAGAACAUCCUGCCCCAGAUUUUAGAAAGGGGCUCGUGCUUUGGGUUUUCUCAACUUUUUAGUGCCUAGUUUGAGACGCUUUGCAGAGUUCUUAUUGUCAAAGGCUGGGUGCUCAGUACUUUCUGGAACUCAGGACCCUUCAAGGUGUCUGAAGUUGGGCCCCUAAAAUCUGAGGCAUCCAAAAUUGCUAGUCACUUUGAAAAUCUUGGCCUCUGUCUGUAAGGAUCAGCUGCUUCCCUGAGUCUGUCUCCCAGGGUCAUUGACACCUUUUGCAAAUACGGCAGUGAGGGUAGGUUACGUUACAUACCAUAACUGCAGCAUCAAGGGGCUCACAGAAAUUGUUCCUGUAGGCCCUGAGCCAGGGCAAGUCUACAUUGUAUUCCCAAUUUCCAAAGUUAAAAGUUGCCCCAAAAUAUCCUUUUAAUCUCUGAUCUUAACUGUGCUCAGCAUUUAAUCACAGUGAUCCAGAGUCCAACAGCAUCACUGCUAGAGGCAUUAAGCACUUGGAAGCAGGAGUAAUCGAUCCAAGCUGUUGUAAAAUGUGGUCAGUAAGUCAUUUCCUGGUUACACUUUAAUGAUGCGCAGAACGAGGGGGCCGUGACAGCUAUUUUAUCUUUAUUCCAAGAAUGCUUAUUGAUUACUAUUAUUUGUAUUACUGGAGCGACUACAGACUCCAGCCUAGAUCAGGGCUCCGAUGUGUUGGGUGCUGUACAUGCACACAGUAGGAGACUUUCCUUGCCAUGAAGAGAGUAUUAUCUGAAUAAACAAGAAAGAGAGAGGAUGGGACAACAGAAGUACUCCUAUCCCUGCCCUACAGAUGGAGAACUGAGGCACAGAGAGACUAAGUGUCUUGACCAAGGUCACAGAACAGGUCAGUUUCAGAGCUGGGAAAGGCACCAGGUUUCCUGAGUCCAAUCCAGGGACCUAUCCACUAGUCCACACUGCCUCUGAUUUAGGACUUCCUGGCUUUCAAUCCUGCAUUCAGAAUACUCACCCAUCUCUCACUGUCUAACUGUCCUUUCCCUGCCACAUUCACUGACCCCAAAAAGUCUGUGUAGACCAGAACACUGCAGCAUGUAAAUGGCAACUUCAGAACUGCACCUUCUGCAGCGUCACAGCCUGUCGACUAGCUAGAGCAAGGUCUCAACAGGAGCUGGCGUUGCCAGCAUAGUCUGUGGUUUCACUUUACCCCAGCCUUGGCUAGAGCGUUGGGGACUAAUCCAACCAUCCUCCAGAAGAACAGAUUUGAGUUUCUUGAGCUGGAAAAUUAAACAAUUGCAUCAUGCAGCAAAGCCAAAAAUUAAUCACGGAAGAAGGGGUUCCCCAUUUACAAACUCCAGCUGCAUUCAGACGGAUUCGGGUGGCUUCACUACGUGCUUUGCUGAGCCCUGAUGUCCUUCAGAAGCAAACCACUACUUAGCCAUCCGGGCGAAUGGCGUGCUUUCCGAGUACACCACCAAUGGUGGGUGUGUGUGUGUGAUUUCUAGUACCUCCAUACAAAUCAGCUUAGCAAUGGCAACGUUUGCUGGUGGAAAAAGCUCCAAGUGCUACCCAUCGCUGCUCUGUUCUGAAUGCCAGCCAGAGUGCCUGCCGGAGCAGCAAGAACUGACAUUAAACAGCAAUGUGUUUUUGCGAGACAAACUGUUCAAAAGAGCUAUUACUGUUCCGGGCUCCGUGCGUGUAGAUAGAGGUGCCAGGCAUGCGGUGUACGUUCUGUUUAGACGGAGUGGCAACAGUCUAUGCUUGAAGCUUUCCUGGAUACAAUCUGAACGGUUCAAUUGGUGGCAUAGAUCCAAUACCCCCUUGUUGUCACAGAGAGAGCCUCCUUUCUAUCUAUCUUAAGUACAUAUAGGGUCCUCGAUUGCCAAAAUGUCUGAGUGAAUCACAAUCUCAAUGGAUUCAUCCUCCCUGCACCUUUGGUAGGUAGGGCAGUGCCAUUUUAUGAGUGGGGGAAACUGAGGCAUGGAGAGGCUACGUGACUCCCCCAAGGUCCCACAGGAAGUCUUUGGCAGAGCAGGGAAUUGAAUGCAGAGGUCUCCCAAGUGCCAUGUUGUGGCCUAGCCACAAGACCAGCCUUGGUCUCUGUGCCCAGUCUAUAGCGCUAUGUAUAGUGUGCUGUCUGUGAUGAGAGAGGCAGGUUUUACUGUGUAGCUGCUUUAACAGCCCAGCACUGGAGUCCAUGGUCCAUGUGUGGCUUUCUUUAGUGCACUUCCCUCUGGCCUCUCCUCUUUCCGGGUCUCUCUCCUUCAGUGAUUUAUUUUCACGUUAGUUAUUGUUUUCUUAAUUGCUAAUCAGGUUGUGCUGCCGAAUGGUGAGUUAUUUCAUGGUAAUUCUCGAGUUGCUCCUCUGAACACCCUGGAGCUGGGGCUGGGCUAACGCCAGGCUGAGUUGCUCUGAGCAACUGGAAAGGAAGAUGGGCUGGGAUGGAAGGCCCUGACUGUCCCCCCAGCUCAAGACCACGGGGGCUUCAGAAAACAAGAAUGAGCGACCUGGAGACAUGCUGAGUUUGGUUCCAGUUUCUGUUGAUUUGGCAUUUUGACCCUGUUCAAAUUUUAGUGCCCACUAGAGAAUGAUGCAAGGAGGAAACCAGCUCUUCCCCUGCCACCAGCUUGAGCUAUUCAAGGUGCUGAUUUCUUGCAUGAUUGAGUCUUGGUCAUCUCAGGGGCCACUUCUCUCCUGGAGCUCCAUUAUGCUUUUCCAUGAAGGGAAACAACAAAAGAAGAAAGAACAAAAGUAAAGUCUUCAUGAGAAAGCGCAGUGUGUGUGAUCUCUUCUGUCACAUGCUGCAUCAACUCUGUCUCGGUCUGCUAUAGCCAUCCCUGGGUGAGACAGGGUCCAGGACAUUGCGUAGGAAAACGUCAACCAGGACAGAAGCAGGAGCUAGGGGCUGGGAUAUAUUCAGUUCUCUAGGGACACUCUAGGAACAAAGAAAGCAUAGGCUGAGGUUGAUGUUUUGUUUUUCUUUAAGUUACCCAGAGAGGGAGUAAGUUUGGGCUAUGCAGACUCUGUCUGAAGCCAUGUGGGAAGGAUGCUUGUGUUAAUUGCACUACCAGGGCAAUGCUUGCCUUACCCAGUGCCAGAUGUUUUCUAAGCAGGAAUCCCUACAGAAAUGCAACUUGUGACUCUAUAGUGGGAGAAGAGGGAUGCCUGCAUGCUAGAAUUGGAAGCAGGAGGAAUAUAUUCUCUCAGAAAGGGGCAGUGUGGCCCAGGUGCUUGGACGCUGGACUGGGAAUGAGGCAACUGGGAUAUGUAUUGAAUUAUUAUGCGGCCUUGGUCAAGUCACUUCACCACUCAAUGCCUCAGUUUCCGCAGCCAUAAAAGGGCAAUAACAACACUUCCCCUCCUUUGUAACGCCCUGUGGGCCCCUCAGGUGGGGAGUGCUAAUGGGAAAUGCAAUGACUUUCAUUACUGUACAAUCACUAGUGCAUUCACAGGGACACAUUCAUCCCCGGUGCUGCUCCCUGGCGGCAACGCUGGUUGCUGAUGUGCGGCAUCCAGGAAGCCUCCGAUCUUCCAGUAUCUUCGGGCCCCACUCCAGUGCAUCAGGGACAAGCUGAUUUCACCCAUUCAUGCAGACAAUCCUCUGACAGAAAUGGAGUUGGAGAGCGUCCCGGGCAGCAAUCACUCACAGCCUUUUCCAGAGCCGGCCGAACAGCGACUAUCUCCAUCCAAGAGCUGACCUGUCUUGGAUCAUCACUUCCGUAUCAACUUCAGCUCUGCGGCGCAUGCUGCCGCAUUGGCUCGGCACGGCAGUGGGUAGAGAAGAGGACUAUCCACAGCUUUUCACCUGUCCAUUACCAGUAGGCUGAGUACUGGUGGCAUCACGACAGAGGUGAGUCUGAAGGAAAGAUUUGAAGGAGGCUAUUUGGACUUUAUCGGGGAGUUUUCCCAUGCUUAAGGGGCAGCAUGAGAAAAAGGUCAGAGUUGUGUUGUUGCAGGCUUCAUCAGGGCUCUGUUGCUGUUGAGCUGAGAUUGCUGGAAGAGAGGAUCACCCUGGAUGCUGGCUGACCACCUCUGUUCUUGGACUGGUGUGUGUGUGCGCACGUAAAACAGUUGCACUUAAAAUAUACCCAGACUCCACAUCACUGAUUUCUCCUCCGUUGGGACCAAGGCCCCAUACAUCAGCUAUUGCUCAGCAGAGGUGCAUUGCUGGUGUCAGAAGAAGGGGGAACAGGUUUCUCUGGGAGAAGCUGACUGGUGGGAAUGCUGGGGGGACUGCUGGCAGGGUUGACAUCUCAGUAGGUCAGCUGGGACAGGUGGAGCUAAGCGAUGAAGAGCCUCAAAGGUAAAGAGCUGAAGCUUGUGUGUGCCGUGGAGAUGAAGGGGAAGCCGGUGGAGAAACUCAAAGAGGGGGCUGAUGUGCUCAGACCGGUGAGCCAAGAAGGUGUUUUUUGCUGCAACCAUCUGACUAGGCUUGAGGGGAGCAAGCGGCAGCCGGCGAAGACAGAAGAUGGGAGAUUGCAGAAGAGCUGAGGGCUUGGGUGGGAGUUCCGCCUACACGGGCAGGUUUCUGAGACGUAAGGAAAAGUAGCGAGCAAUGGCCUGAAUAGGUAGGUCCGGCGAGCGGGCCAAGCUUUUCCUAGCAAUGUCUUCUUUGCGUUCCCCCACCCUCCCCUGACAGCCUGUUGUGCCUACGCACUGCAGGGCACAAGCUCUGCGCGUUGGCAAGCUUAAGAGACUCUCGUGUCACAUCGGUAUCUCUGGGUCUCAUCAUCGGGGUGCGAUCCUGGCACCCCUGGAUCUUAAUGACAUAAAUGAGACACAAAUAACCCAGGAUACGAAGAGUGCAGGAGAGGCCUUUGUCAGAUUAUAGGCCUUGCCCAGGGGCUGGCUGAGUUUCUGUGCGGGGAAGCGUGUACCAGGGAGGCCUGGAGCCAGUCAGCCCUGCCCGCUACACCUGUGCAGGGCAUGGGAUGUCUGAGGAAGAGAAGCCCAGCGGCUGCUGAGGAGGAGGGCAGACAGGCUGCUCCAAUGUGGAACAAGAUCCCGAGUUUGGGCGAGGAACUAACUGAGGGCAGGCCUGGUAGGAGGGCAGGCCUGACCCAAAUGUUAGACUCGAUUGUAGCCCAGGCGCAAGGGGCUACACUGAGAGACAGGCUGCUGCUGCUGGGAACUUGCCUGUAAGAAGAGGGCUGACGGGUCUGCUCUUUCGAUGAUGAUUGCAGACUUGGUGGACUAAGAGCUCCUAUUAUCCAGGAACGGGUUGGACAUUUUGCAUUGGCUUGGCUGGAGGGCCCAGUCACCUUUACAGUGGGAGAAGGCCAAAGAUCAUUGUGGGGAAACUGAGGUGGAAGUGCCCUGAAGGGGGGCUCUGGGAUGGUGAGUCUGGUACCAUCCCCAGAUGCCUUUUGCUGAGGAUUUCUCAGUUGUAGAUUAGGUUGUAAUUAUGCUUUAUAUCUUGUGAAAAUAAACAACAUCUUAGCAACAUGAGGCCCUGCUCCAGCCCCUGCUGUUAAACCUUUGCUGAGAAGUGGGCGAGAGACCAACAAUCGCUAGUGUAGAGAAGCAUCAUCCGUCGCAGCCAAAGGGUCUGCUCUGAGCGCCAGAAACAGCCUUGAACCAAUCCCUCCCACAGGGAUCAGUUAGCAGGUGCCCUGAUACGAGGGUGAUGGGUACAUUAGAAAUGCCGAGGUAGAUUAGAUCAUUAUCAGUAGCCACAAUGGGGGUCCCUUGAGCUAGGAGCUGUAGACGCACCUCGUGACAGACGGCACCUGCUCUGAGGAGUUUACAGUUAAAACAGACAACAGAGAAAGGAAGUAUUAUGACCCUGUAUUACAGACAGGGGGCUGGGGCCCCGCGAGAUUACGUGAUUUACCCAGGGAGUCUGUGGCAGAGGCGGGAAUUGAACCCAGAUCUCAUGAGUCUCAGUUCGGGGCCAUCUUCAUCAUGAAAAAUCCGGUUACUUGGCCUGCCAGUGACCCACCAUAUUCCAAAGCAGUUGAAUUACCCGCAACCUGUCCGUGACUCCCGGCGUGUCCAGAGGUAGCUACAGGGUGGAAAUCAUGCUCUACCUGUCUCCAUUUGAAAUGUCUCUUCCAAUUUGCUCUGGAGAGAGCAAUGCAAAGGUCUCACAGACUGAACGUCCGGAUCCCUGCUCAGCUAAUGCAUGAGGACUGUUUUCUGAGGCACUCUUCGUCCCUCAAUGCCAAAUAAAUGUUCUCACAAAGUCAGCCUGGACCACAGAAUGCUUUUAAAGCCUAUUUUUUUAGUCACAGGAGCAGCGAAUUGACCUAGGGCUGCUCUGCUUGGAGUUUGCUCUGAAAGGAAGGCAGGAAAAAACCCUGAACAAAGGAAGUUGUGUGGGGCUGCAGGACGGGACUGGAGUGCAUAGCUGGAAGGUACUUAUAGACUGGGAUCAAGUCACCCCUUCACCUGCUGGAGAACUCCAGAUGGGCAGACGCUUCAUAGAAGAGGGAGCUCUCGGCCACCAUCUGAAUGAGUGAGGCCACAUUUGCAUUUCAGAUGGGGACGUUGAAGUGACCCGAGGCACAGGUGGGGACAGAAUCCAGAAACUCGGCACUAGAACACAUGCUUUUCUCAAGAUGGUUUGUGGUUUGGUAACUCUCCAGUUCCAGCAUCUGCAGAGAAAGAAACUCAAUUGCAGUUAAUGACAGUGAAAUUAUGGAGAGAUUAGUGUAAUUACAACUAGAAGAAUCUUCUAGUUCAAAGAUGAUUGAUGCCUCAUGGAAGAAUUUGGAUGGAGGCACGAGAGGAGAUUCCAGGAACAUUGGCUCAGACUUUAUUUACCUCCACAAGUUCCCCUAGGUAUGGAAAGAAAUGGCUUGACAAAAAUAAGGCAUGGAAGAAAGAGGAUUUAAUGUGGCUACUCAAUGCUAUUAAAUAAAUGAUGUGUGUUGGCAGGACUGUAGGUGAGAAGGGUGGGAGACUGAAAAACCAUAUUGUGAAAAGAACCAGAAGAAUUGCCUUCAUAAAUCUACUCCACUAUUCCCAUCAUAUAGAGGAUGGAAGGAAGUAGAUUACCGGGGUGCAUAAGAAAAUCAAAGGGGUAUAGAAGGCGUCCACAUCUUUAGCUGGCCCCUCAGCAUGAAUACUGCACAUGUGUGUCCUUUCUCUAGAAAAGAGAGCAACAGAUGAGGAGGGGGAAAGGGUAAGAGAGAAGAAGGCAUGAAACUGAAACUUAGGGGUUUUUUUCCCUGUAUUUGAGGUGGGUUAAAGGAGCUCCAGGUGUUCUCUCUAGAAAAAAGAGAUUAGGAGGCAACAUUAAUCAAGUUUACAACAUAUUUAAAUGAACAGAUAAAGAGGAAAGAAAAAAAAACCCACCCUGAAAUGUUUUUCUAACCAAUGCAUAUUUGAGCUAAAGAAUUCACAGGGGUCGUCAUGGAAAGCCACAUGUAUAUAUGCAAAACUAGGGUUAGAAGACAAAGCGGGAUUAUUUUCUAGGCUCAUAAAUAAUGUAACGGUUGGAAGAAAAAUGUGGAGGCUUCAGUUGAUCUUACUGCCGAAGGAGGAACUAACAAUAUGUCUGAUAAAGUGGGAGGUUGAAGGGAAUUUCACACAGAAGAAUGAUAGAGCAUUGCUGAUUGUCAUACCAUGCAUGGUGUUCUUCGGUAAAGGAUUGGCAUGUUUUCUGCCUUCCUUGAUGCACGGAGACGUCUGUUUCCAGGAUUUAAAGGACCUUUCUGGAGGAAGGAAAUUAUGGGCGUGCCGAGUUUGUGGGUUAGAGUUUCGCUGGUGCCCACUGAAGGCAAUUGUAAAACUCCCAUUGACGACUUGGGUACAGAGUUAGACCAAUGCGGAGCUCUCUUAAAAAUCCCACCUUUAAUUGUUAAGAAAGAUACUUACUAAGAGCCAGCUAUUGAAAAACUUUAGGUGUACAGCCACACACUUAAUUUGCACUUGUAGUUACCAUGUAAAUUGAGUAACUGUGCAACCAGCCAAUGGAGGUCAUUUAUGAGCUUGGUUGCCGAUUUUGCAUACACAGCCAUCCAUUCCAUCUUCACACUUACUUGGUCUGCACAUCAAUCACUCUGAUGCGCUGUACAAUUUAGUCAUGCACUUGCACACAUAAUGUUCUUGAAGCUCUUGUUUGGAAUCAUUUAUGUUCUCGUCAGUAGGAAUUCUCAUGAUACAUACCAACCACUGCUUGUCUGUCUUUUAGUCAAAUUUUGCCUUAUCGAUCAUGAUCCAUAAUUUCCUUUUUUAGAGUGCAGUGUCAUACUAGUGAAAGUGGCCAGAUUGAGAGCCCUCCAGUCUAGUUUCAACGAAUCUGUGGUCUUCUAUAUAGCCAGGGACUAGGCCCAGCAGGGGCCAUGUAAAGUUGCCUUAUUUUCCCAAACCAAUAUAAUCCAGCCCUGAUGGAUAAUCUCUGGGAGCUGGGAAGCUCUCUCAAGGUCUCACUCAUUCCCGUGUAUCUGUUGACAGUAUCAACAAGGGGGCCAAGUGGGCUCAUCAAUUUGUUAUAGGGAUCUCUCUGCAUGAGGAGCUAUAUUGAGACCAUCAAACGAUUUCAUGUACAGCAGUUUACCUAAAUGCAAACAGAUGACAACUUCAUCACUACCAACUUGGGUUAGAAGCAAAACUGUGACCUAGUGGGGAAAGGCUUUGUGUCCCAAUACCAAUUCCUCAAAUGCAAUCCAGUAUGGACUGGUGAUUCUAAAACCUGACCAUCUCUGGGUCUUUGACUUUUUCUCCAUGAACACUAUAAUCCUGCACAUAGCUUGGCUUUCACAGGAAAGCAUGCAGAACAAGGGGACCUUCUGGGUGAUGUAGAUUAAAGCUGAGCACUAUCAAUAUGAAACAAAAUGAAAAAUUACCAAAGUUAGCCUCUGAAAUUCAUGUUUACCCUGAUUUUCAGAAGCGUGCAGCGCUAGAAAUUCUUCAUAUGAAAUAUUUUGGGGUGAAAAGUGAAAGUUUGGCAACACCAAAACAUUUUUGUGAAUUUGUCUGUUUGCUGAAUUGUUUAAAUAAAUAAAAAAUAAAAAACUAAAAAAAUUUUAAAAAAUUGAAGCU